UACGAAGGGGGCUAGCGUUGCUCGGAAUCACUGGGCGUAAAGCGCACGUAGGCGGAUCUUUAAGUCAGGGGUGAAAUCCCGAGGCUCAACCUCGGAACUGCCUUUGAUACUGGGGAUCUCGAGUCCGGAAGAGGUUGGUGGAACUCCGAGUGUAGGGGUGAAAUUCGUAGAUAUUCGCAAGAACACCAGUGGCGAAGGCGGCUCACUGGCCCGGUACUGACGCUGAGGUGCGAAAGCGUGGGGAGCAAACAGG
rnacentral:rRNA from 1 species